GACGAACGCUGGCGGCGUGCUUAACACAUGCAAGUCGAACGGAAAGGCUCCAGCUUGCUGGAGUACUCGAGUGGCGAACGGGUGAGUAACACGUGGGUAAUCUGCCCUGCACUCUGGGAUAAGCCUGGGAAACUGGGUCUAAUACUGGAUAUGACCUUUCUCCUUAUGGGGUUUGGUGGAAAGUUUUUCGGUGUAGGAUGAGCCCGCGGCCUAUCAGCUUGUUGGUGGGGUGAUGGCCUACCAAGGCGACGACGGGUAGCCGGCCUGAGCGGGUGAUCGGCCACAUUGGGACUGAGAUACGGCCCAGACUCCUACGGGAGGCAGCAGUGGGGAAUAUUGCACAAUGGGCGGAAGCCUGAUGCAGCGACGCCGCGUGAGGGAUGACGGCCUUCGGGUUGUAAACCUCUUUCAGCAGGGACGAAGCGUAAGUGACGGUACCUGCAGAAGAAGCACCGGCUAACUAUGUG
rnacentral:rRNA from 1 species